rnacentral:rRNA from 1 species
AUUGAACGCUGGCGGCAUGCUUUACACAUGCAAGUCGAACGGUAACAGGUUAAGCUGACGAGUGGCGAACGGGUGAGUAAUGCAUCGGAACGUGCCCGAUCGUGGGGGAUAACGCAGCGAAAGCUGCGCUAAUACCGCAUACGAUCUGAGGAUGAAAGCGGGGGACCGUAAGGCCUCGCGCGAUCGGAGCGGCCGAUGUCAGAUUAGGUAGUUGGUGGGGUAAAGGCUCACCAAGCCGACGAUCUGUAGCUGGUGUGAGAGGACGACCAGCCACACUGGGACUGAGACACGGCCCAGACUCCUACGGGAGGCAGCAGUGGGGAAUUUUGGACAAUGGGCGCAAGCCUGAUCCAGCAAUGCCGCGUGCAGGAAGAAGGCCUUCGGGUUGUAAACUGCUUUUGUACGGAGCGAAAAGGCUCUCUCUAAUACAGGGGGCUCAUGACGGUACCGUGAGAAUAAGCACCGGCUAACUACGUGCCAGCCGCCGCAGUAA